rnacentral:lncRNA from 1 species
CGUAGAGAGUCUAGGGUGGUCGAUUAAGGCUUUGUUUGGGAUUAUGGGGAGAUUGCGUUACGUGCAGUAAAAAAGUACAUUUUUGUUUGUUUUCGUACGUAAUAUUGUGUUCUGCAUAGAUUACGAUAUAUUUUCUGCAGUCCUACCGGAGAACGCAGAAGCAUAUUCCUGUAUGCUUUUCCUCAACUCUAUUUUAUCUAAUAGCGUUAGAUAGACCUCAAUACCAAACUAAGCCUAAGAAUUAUUGUAAGGACUGAGAUUUUUGACUAUGCAACUAAACUCUCUGUUGACGAUGUUUAUGUGUGUAAUUUAAUUACAUAAGCACUCGUCAAGUUUCAGGAGAAAAUGAGCUUAAACGGAGAAGUUACGCGAUUAUUAGUUUUCACUUAAGUGAAUAGUAACUCCGGUUUUCCGGAGAAGCCACGNGUUGUGGUUGUAUCCUGGUUGUACUGUGUAUUUGAUCGACGCCGUGCAAAUACAGGGGAGACUCUGUCCGUGUGAACAGUGGAUUCCCUGUAUUUGUGGCGGAUCUGGCAUACUUU